UGGGGAAUAUUGCGCAAUGGACGAAAGUCUGACGCAGCAACGCCGCGUGGGUGAGGAAGGACUUCGGUUUGUAAAGCCCUGUAAAUGUGGAAAAAGAGACGGACGUCGAACAGGCGUACGGAUUGAUGGUACACAUAGAGUAAGCACCGGCUAACUUCGUG
rnacentral:rRNA from 1 species